AGAAACUAGGUGUAAUUUGUUGCAUAUUCUUGUUUUGGUCAAGAGGGAGGUUGGAUGCCAGUUUCUU
rnacentral:tRNA from 1 species